CCUACGGGGGGCUGCAGUGAGGAAUAUUGGUCAAUGGCCGGAAGGCUGAACCAGCCAUGCCGCGUGAAGGUCAGUGCCCUAUGGGCGUUAAACUUCUUUUGUGCGGGAGCAAUAAUGGUCACGUGUGGCCAGACGAGAGUACCGUACGAAUAAGCAUCGGCUAACUCCGUGCCAGCAGCCGCGGUAAUACGGGGGAGGCAAGCGUUAUCCGGAUUUAUUGGGUUUGAAGGGUGCGUAGGCUGGGAGGUAAGUCAGAGGUGAAAUGCCCCGGCUCAACGGGGUGAAGUGCCAUUGAUACUGCCUAGCUGGAAUGCGGAUGCCGUGGGAGGAAUGUGUGGUGUAGCGGUGAAAUGCAUAGAUAUCACACAGAACACCGAUUGCGAAGGCAUCUCACGAAUCCGCGAUUGACGCUGAUGCACGAAAGCGUGGGUAUCAAACAGGAUUAGAUACCCCAGUAGUC
rnacentral:rRNA from 1 species